AGCAUCACAUCUUUUCAUGAAUGGGCAAUGUAUCAUGCAGUUCUGAUCUUAUCACAACAUGUGUAACGUCUGGAAGAACUGCCACUUGUCAAGCCAACCAAGGCCCUCCUGACAGACAAACCCAUUCCCCACAGAGGAAGCAGAAAGGAAGCAAAAUGCUAGCACCUGCUCCUAGAGCUCUGGCUGGAAAAAAAAAAAAAAAAAUUAAAUUUAAGGAUGACAUAUACAUUGCCUUCCACAAAAUAUCUUUGAAGUGAUGCAUCAGAGGAGUGGAUUCACAAGCAGUUUUCUAAAAGCUCCCUCACUGCAUCUGCAAGUCCAGGUCCAACAGACCCUGCAACUACAGAUGAGAUUCAUCACAGAACAUGCAGCGAGUAGAAUACACAUAGAACAUGUGUAUGGAUUUCUACUAUGCCAGUGAACACAUUUUCACUGACAUUUCCACCCUGCAUAUUAAACCUCAUAUUUCACAUAUCUGCACAGAAG
rnacentral:lncRNA from 1 species